GGGCCGGUAGCUCAGUGGUAGAGCACCUGUCUUAUAAGCAGGGGGUCGAGAGUCCGAUCCUCUCCCGGCCCA
rnacentral:tRNA from 1 species